GGAGCUUGCUCUUCUUGGAUGAGUUGCGAACGGGUGAGUAACGCGUAGGUAACCUGCCUUGUAGCGGGGGAUAACUAUUGGAAACGAUAGCUAAUACCGCAUAACAAUGGAUGACACAUGUCAUUUAUUUGAAAGGGGCAAUUGCUCCACUACAAGAUGGACCUGCGUUGUAUUAGCUAGUAGGUGAGGUAACGGCUCACCUAGGCGACGAUACAUAGCCGACCUGAGAGGGUGAUCGGCCGCACUGGGACUGAGACACGGCCCAGACUCCUACGGGAGGCAGCAGUAGGGAAUCUUCGGCAAUGGGGGCAACCCUGACCGAGCAACGCCGCGUGAGUGAAGAAGGUUUUCGGAUCGUAAAGCUCUGUUGUAAGUCAAGAACGAGUGUGAGAGUGGAAAGUUCACACUGUGACGGUAGCUUACCAGAAAGGGACGGCUAACUACGUGCCAGCAGCCGCGGUAAUACGUAGGUCCCGAGCGUUGUCCGGAUUUAUUGGGCGUAAAGCGAGCGCAGGCGGUUUGAUAAGUCUGAAGUUAAAGGCUGUGGCUCAACCAUAGUUCGCUUUGGAAACUGUCAAACUUGAGUGCAGAAGGGGAGAGUGGAAUUCCAUGUGUAGCGGUGAAAUGUGUAGAUAUAUGGAGGAACACCGGUGGCGAAAGCGGCUCUCUGGUCUGUAACUGACGCUGAGGCUCGAAAGCGUGGGGAGCGAACAGGAUUAGAUACCCUGGUAGUCCACGCCGUAAACGAUGAGUGCUAGGUGUUGGAUCCUUUCCGGGAUUCAGUGCCGCAGCUAACGCAUUAAGCACUCCGCC
rnacentral:rRNA from 1 species